GCGCUAUUGGAGCGGCCGAUGGCAGAUUAGCUUGUUGGUGGGGUAAGAGCCUACCAAGGCAACGAUCUGUAGCUGGUCUGAGAGGACGACCAGCCACACUGGGACUGAGACACGGCCCAG
rnacentral:rRNA from 1 species